AAUUAUUGAGUUUCAGUUCUAAGUAUGGGGAAAUUGGGGAACCCCCAAAAUUUAUUGUUUUUUUUUUCUAUUUUUGUGUGAAAAUCUUAAUGCGGUUAACAGAACACAUCUACUUACCAAGUUUCAAGAGUAUAUAUAGUUCUUAUAGUUUCGGAAAAAAGUGGCUGUGACAUAAACGGACAGACAGACAGACGGACAGACAUGACGAAUCUAUAAGGGUUCCGUUUUUUGCCAUUUGGCUACGGAACCCUAAAAACGAAA